GACGAACGCUGGCGGCGUGCCUAAUACAUGCAAGUCGAACGCAGUGGGGACGGGUGAGUAACACGUUGGUAACCUCCCAUCAGAAGGGAGAACACUUGGAAACAGGUGCUAAACCGAUACCGGUGGAUGAACCCGCGGUGCAUUAGCUAGUUGGUGGGGUAACGGCUCACCAAGGCCACGAUGCAUAGCGGACCUGAGGGGGGGACCGCCCAAACUGGGACUGGGACACGGCCCAGACUCCUACGGGAGGAGGCAGUGGGGAACCUUCGGAAAGGGACGAAAGUCUGCCCAGGCAACGCCGCGGGGGUGAGGAGGGUUUUCGGUUCGUAAAACUCUGUUGUUGGGGCGACGGUACCGAAACAGAAAGCCACGGCUAACUACGUGCCAGCAGCCGCGGUAAUAC
rnacentral:rRNA from 1 species